AUUGAACGCUGGCGGCAUGCUUUACACAUGCAAGUCGAACGGCAGCGGGGUAGUGCUUGCACUACUGUCCGGCGAGUGGCGAACGGGUGAGUAAUAUAUCGGAACGUACCGAGUAAUGGGGGAUAACCAAUCGAAAGAUUGGCUAAUACCGCAUACGUCCUGAGGGAGAAAGCGGGGGAUCGCAAGACCUCGCGUUAUUCGAGCGGCCGAUAACUGGUUAGCUAGUUGGUGGGGUAAAGGCCUACCAAGGCGACGAUCAGUAGCGGGUCUGAGAGGACGAUCCGCCACACUGGGACUGAGACACGGCCCAGACUCCUACGGGAGGCAGCAGUGGGGAAUUUUGGACAAUGGGGGCAACCCUGAUCCAGCCAUGCCGCGUGUAUGAAGAAGGCCUUCGGGUUGUAAAGUACUUUUGUUAGGGAAGAAAAGGGAAGUGCUAAUACCACUUUUUGCUGACGGUACCUAAAGAAUAAGCACCGGCUAACUACGUGCCAGCAGCCGCGGUAAUACGUAGGGUGCGAGCGUUAAUCGGAAUUACUGGGCGUAAAGCGAGCGCAGACGGUUAUUUAAGCAGGAUGUGAAAUCCCCGGGCUUAACCUGGGAACUGCGUUCUGAACUGGAUAGCUAGAGUGUGUCAGAGGGGGGUAGAAUUCCACGUGUAGCAGUGAAAUGCGUAGAGAUGUGGAGGAAUACCGAUGGCGAAGGCAGCCCCCUGGGAUAACACUGACGUUCAUGCUCGAAAGCGUGGGUAGCAAACAGG
rnacentral:rRNA from 1 species